AUUCUGUGUCUAAUGAUGGAAAGAAACUGCUUAGGAAGAUAGUGUGAUAUAUGCCAUCCUUGACGAUUAAUAAUGGUAAAACAAGCCCUCAUAAAAUACAGGGAUUUCUCUGGCAGAGCCCUGCAAUCAGUAAAUCACGUUGUCCUUAGGGGUGGUGUUUCCUGGAAGGGUAACUGCCUGUAGGGUAGACAGACUACAGAUCUUCAAGAAACAAAUGGUUUACAAUGGCUGCAACACUAUCAGCACCAGCAGGAGCAGUAGUAGUGACAUUGGAAGACAGUGAAGAUAUAAGGGACAUUGCUGGCAAUGAAUAC